rnacentral:rRNA from 1 species
GGAUGAACGCUGGCGGCGUGCCUAAUACAUGCAAGUCGAGCGAACGGACGAGAAGCUUGCUUCUCUGAUGUUAGCGGCGGCCGGGUGAGUAACACGUGGAUAACCUACCUAUAAGACUGGGAUAACUUCGGGAAACCGGAGCUAAUACCGGAUAAUAUUUUGAACCGCAUGGUUCAAAAGUGAAAGACGGUCUUGCUGUCACUUAUAUAUGGAUCCGCUCUGCAUUAGCUAGUUGGUAAGGUAACGGCUUACCAAGGCAACGAUGCAUAGCCGACCUGAGAGGGUGAUCGGCCACACUGGAACUGAGACACGGUCCAGACUCCUACGGGAGGAAGCAGUAGGGAAUCUUCCGCAAUGGGCGAAAGCCUGACGGAGCAACGCCGCGUGAGUGAUGAAGGUCUUCGGAUCGUAAAACUCUGUUAUUAGGGAAGAACAUAUGUGUAAGUAACUGUGCACAUCUUGACGGUACCUAAUCAGAAAGCCACGGCUAACUACGUG